AUACUGCAGUCGAGCGAACAGAUAAGGAGCUUGCUCCUUUGACGUUAGCGGCGGACGGGUGAGUAACACGUGGGUAACCUACCUAUAAGACUGGGAUAACUUCGGGAAACCGGAGCUAAUACCGGAUAACAUUUGGAACCGCAUGGUUCUAAAGUGAAAGAUGGUUUUGCUAUCACUUAUAGAUGGACCCGCGCCGUAUUAGCUAGUUGGUAAGGUAACGGCUUACCAAGGCGACGAUACGUAACCGACCUGAGAGGGUGAUCGGCCACACUGGAACUGAGACACGGUCCAGACUCCUACGGGAGGCAGCAGUAGGGAAUCUUCCGCAAUGGGCGAAAGCCUGACGGAGCAACGCCGCGUGAGUGAUGAAGGGUUUCGGCUCGUAAAACUCUGUUAUUAGGGAAGAACAAAUGUGUAAGUAACUGUGCACAUCUUGACGGUACCUAAUCAGAAAGCCACGGCUAACUACGUGCCAGCAGCCGCGGUAAUACGUAGGUGGCAAGCGUUAUCCGGAAUUAUUGGGCGUAAAGCGCGCGUAGGCGGUUUCUUAAGUCUGAUGUGAAAGCCCACGGCUCAACCGUGGAGGGUCAUUGGAAACUGGGAAACUUGAGUGCAGAAGAGGAAAGUGGAAUUCCAUGUGUAGCGGUGAAAUGCGCAGAGAUAUGGAGGAACACCAGUGGCGAAGGCGACUUUCUGGUCUGUAACUGACGCUGAUGUGCGAAAGCGUGGGGAUCAAACAGGAUUAGAUACCCUGGUAGUCCACGCCGUAAACGAUGAGUGCU
rnacentral:rRNA from 1 species